GAUGAACGCUGGCGGCGUGCCUAAUACAUGCCAGUCGAGCGAACAGACGAGGAGCUUGCUCCUCUGACGUUAGCGGCGGACGGGUGAGUAACACGUGGAUAACCUACCUAUAAGACUGGGAUAACUUCGGGAAACCGGAGCUAAUACCGGAUAAUAUAUUGAGCCGCAUGGUUCAAUAGUGAAAGACGGUUUUGCUGUCACUUAUAGAUGGAUCCGCGCCGCAUUAGCUAGUUGGUAAGGUAACGGCUUACCAAGGCGACGAUGCGUAGCCGACCUGAGAGGGUGAUCGGCCACACUGGAGCUGAGACACGGUCCAGACUCCUACGGGAGGCAGCAGUAGGGAAUCUUCCGCAAUGGGCGAAAGCCUGACGGAGCAACGCCGCGUGAGUGAUGAAGGUCUUCGGAUCGUAAAACUCUGUUAUUAGGGAAGAACAAAUGUGUAAGUAACUAUGCACGUCUUGACGGUACCUAAUCAGAAAGCCACGGCUAACUACGUG
rnacentral:rRNA from 1 species